UUAGAAUUCUAUGUAAGUGGUCAGGUAAGUCUUAAUCCUUACAUAGAAGGACCUUGGAACUCAUGCUAUGGCAAUACAUCACUACAUAGAUUUGAGAUAUGGGAGCCUGCACUUCACAGGGAACUGUACAUGCUUUACACCAGGGCCAUUGCUUGGUUCCAGAAACACCUGGGGCUUGAGCCCCAUGGAUAUCUUGAUGACCCCGUCAGGGAAGUGGAGUAUGUCCUAUCUCCAGCAUUCUGGACUAUGUGGAGUAUGUCCUAUCCCCAGCAUGUUAUGUCCUCUCAUUUUGAACAGUGAGCUGCCAAUGGCCUCCAGGAUCUCAAUGGAAGCAUAGCCGGGAACAAGUUCAGGGUGGACCAAACGUAGGCAUACAGUAUAGUUUAUUUGCAUAAGUCUUCCAUCAACGUUGCAACAUUCCACUAAUUUUUCCAACUUUCACACUGAUAUUUAAAUAGCUGAAAUGUAGCUGUCAGUUUGUUGUGUCAUUGGGUAUGUAUACCCAUGUAAUCUGUUGUGAUGAAUUUCAUUGUUCAAACUGUAUAAUUACUUUUUGGCCACCGUGUACAGACCGCUCAGUAUGUCAGGUAUUCAGUGCGACUCACCUCAAUACUGAAUAGAGGGGUGAUUGGUUUGCAGAUUUACUGAUCUUUCAUUUUAUGAUGGGCGGCUGCUUUGAAACCUGAUGUAAAAACAACAAAACAAAACACUAAUAUCCUGCCGCCACCUCCAUCAAAUUCAGAGAUUAAAGAUCCUAACAUUUGGGGCUUCAUGCACGUUCAUUCUUCAGGUGUGGCUUUUCUACAUGGCUAUGCUGUUUUACUUUAGAGGAUCAAGUGUUUUUUUCCCUACAGUCAGAAAUGAUAAGCAUCUCACCUUGCAUGUCUGUACAAUGAUACAGUGUGGAUAUAUAACAGUAAGUAAAGGAAAAAAAUUAUUAAAGGGACACUAUAGUCACCAGAACAACUACAGUUUAUUGAAUUUGUCCUGGUGAGUAGAAUCAUUACAUUCAGGCCUUUUGCUGUAAACAUGG